CUUGAAAUCGGUAUUUAGUAAAAUAGAUAUCGAGUUGUAGCUUAUGGAGGCAGUAAUCAGCCACCCCAUCGUAGUAAAAGUUCUUUUGAAUAAGACAUCAAAGAGGGUGAAAAUCCCGUCAUUGACUACGAAACUAUAUGGGAGUUGGUAUUGUGAACUGUUUUCUUUGAGUCGGGUUGUUUGGGAAUGCAGCCCUAAUUAGGAGGUAAAUUUCUUCUAAAGCUAAAUAUAAGCAAGAGACCGAUAGCAAACAAGUACCGUGAGGGAAAGAUGAAAAGCACUUUGAAAAGAGAGUGAAAAGUACGUGAAAUUGUUGGAAGGGAACCGGUUAGUAGCCAAGAUUUUGGUUUAUUCUUGCUGUUUAAUGGUGGAUUUAUCUAUUGUUUUGCAGAUUUGGGGUUUACUGGGGUCAACAUCGGUUGCGUUUAACAGCCAGAAAGGAGAUUUAGCUCUGCUAGCGAAGUAAGGUAGAAAACACAGUUGUUUGUGGGAGCAAUCUUGCAGGCAAUUUAAGCUGUGUUUUUGUUAUAGACUUCAUGGGUAGAGAAUUUAUUAGCCUUAGUGGUUGUGGCGACCGAGGAAUCUAGUGUGUUUUGGGUCUUUAAGAUCUGGAGGCAGAAAUUGGCAGAUUGAGUUGGGUAGAUUUUGGCAGACAGCUUGCUGACUGUUGAGAUUUUUUUAAAUACCUACUUAUUUCGGUUAGUUUUUGACUAAUAAACACUUUGGAUGUUGGCGAAAAGGCACUAAUCGACCCGUCUUGAAACACGGACCAAGGAGUUCAACAUAUAUGCGAGUAUUUGAGUAAAUAUAAACUCAUAUGCGCAAUGAAAGUGAAGAAAAAUAUUUUCUAUAGUAUGUCACCUAGGGCGAUUUUAUGCAAAUAGAAUUGUCUUGGGGCAGCAUCGACCGAUCUUUGAUAGCGUUGCUUGAAGAGAUUGAGUACGAGCAUAUAUGCUGAGACCCGAAAGAUGGUGAACUAUGCCUGAAUAGGGUGAAGUCAGAGGAAACUCUGAUGGAAGCUCGUAGCGAUUCUGACGUGCAAAUCGAUCGCGGAAUUUGGGUAUAGGGGCGAAAGACUAAUCGAACCAUCUAGUAGCUGGUUCCUGCCGAAGUUUCCCUCAGGAUAGCAGAGACUAAAAAAUCAUAAAGCAGUUUUAUGAGGUAAAGCGAAUGAUUAGAGGCCUUGGGGCUGUAACAGCCUUAACCUAUUCUCAAACUUUAAAUGCGUAAGAAGUUUCAGUUGCUUAAUUGAACUGGUAACCUUUCUUUGAAUGCAAUAGUCUCUAGUGGGCCAUUUUUGGUAAGCAGAACUGGCGAUGCGGGAUGAACCGAACGUAGAGUUAAGGUGCCUAAAUGCACGCUCAUGUAGACACCAUAAAAGGUGUUAGUUCAUCUAGACAGCAGGACGGUGGCCAUGGAAGUUGGAAUCCGCUAAGGAGUGUGUAACAACUCACCUGCCGAAUGAACUAGCCCUGAAAAUGGAUGGCGCUUAAGCGUGCUACCGAUACUCUACCGCUAUAUUAAGUAUUUCAGUAUACAAUUGAGAAUAUAGUGAGUAGGCAGGCGUGGGGGUUAUAAGUUUAGAAGCUGUGGGCGUGAGCUCCAGUGGAACAACC
rnacentral:rRNA from 1 species